rnacentral:rRNA from 1 species
UACAGAGGGUGCGAGCGUUGUCCGGAAUCACUGGGCGUAAAGGGCGCGUAGGCGGCUUGAUAAGGUUGCGGUGAAAGCCCGGGGCUCAACCCCGGGUCGGCCGUGGCAACUGUCGAGCUGGAGCACUGUAGAGGCAGGUGGAAUUCCGGGUGUAGCGGUGGAAUGCGUAGAGAUCCGGAAGAACACCGGUGGCGAAGGCGGCCUGCUGGGCAGUGGCUGACGCUGAGACGCGAAAGCGUGGGGAGCGAACAGGG